CUGGUAGUGGGGGACAACGUUUCGAAAGGAACGCUAAUACCGCAUACGUCCUACGGGAGAAAGCAGGGGACCUUCGGGCCUUGCGCUAUCAGAUGAGCCUAGGUCGGAUUAGCUUGUUGGUGAGGUAAUGGCUCACCAAGGCGACGAUCCGUAACUGGUCUGAGAGGAUGAUCAGUCACACUGGAACUGAGACACGGUCCAGACUCCUACGGGAGGCAGCAGUGGGGAAUAUUGGACAAUGGGCGAAAGCCUGAUCCAGCCAUGCCGCGUGUGUGAAGAAGGUCUUCGGAUUGUAAAGCACUUUAAGUUGGGAGGAAGGGCAGUCAGCGAAUACCUGAUUGUUUUGACGUUACCGACAGAAUAAGCACCGGCUAACUCUGUGCCAGCAGCCGCGGUAAUACAGAGGGUGCAAGCGUUAAUCGGAAUUACUGGGCGUAAAGCGCGCGUAGGUGGUUUGUUAAGUUGGAUGUGAAAGCCCCGGGCUCAACCUGGGAACUGCAUCCAAAACUGGCAAGCUAGAGUAUGGUAGAGGGUGGUGGAAUUUCCUGUGUAGCGGUGAAAUGCGUAGAUAUAGGAAGGAACACCAGUGGCGAAGGCGACCACCUGGGACUGAUACUGACACUGAGUGCGAAAGCGUGGGGAGCAAACAGGAUUAGAUACCCUGGUAGUCCACG
rnacentral:rRNA from 1 species